rnacentral:misc_RNA from 1 species
GAUGAAGACGUAGCGAAAUGCGAUAAGUAGUGUGAAUUGCAGAAUUCAGUGAAUCAUCGAAUCUUUGAACGCACAUUGCGCCCCUUGGUAUUCCAUGGGGCAUGCCUGUUCGAGCGUCAUUUGUACCUUCAAGCUCUGCUUGGUGUUGGGUGUUUGUCUCGCCUCUGCGUGUAGACUCGCCUCAAAACAAUUGGCAGCCGGCGUAUUGAUUUCGGAGCGCAGUACAUCUCGCGCUUUGCACUCAUAACGACGACGUCCAAAAGUACAUUUUUACACUCUUGACCUCGGAUCAGGUAGGGAUACCCGCUGAACUUAAGCAUAUCAAUAAGCGGAGGA